CCUACGGGGGGCUGCAGUGAGGAAUAUUGGUCAAUGGGCGGGAGCCUGAACCAGCCAAGCAGCGUGCAGGAAGACGGCGCCAUGCGUCGUAAACUUCUUUUGUCCGGGGACAAAGGGCGCCACGUGUGGCGUUGUGAGUGUACCCGAUGAAAAAGCAUCGGCUAACUCCGUGCCAGCAGCCGCGGUAAUACGGAGGAUGCGAGCGUUAUCCGGAUUUAUUGGGUUUAAAGGGUGCGUAGGCGGUCGGGAAAGUCAGCGGUAAAAGCCCGGGGCUCAACCCCGGCCAGCCGUUGAAACUGGCGGACUAGAGACGGCGAGAAGUACGCGGAAUGCGCGGUGUAGCGGUGAAAUGCAUAGAUAUCGCGCAGAACUCCGAUUGCGAAGGCAGCGUACCGGCGCCGGACUGACGCUGAGGCACGAAGGCGUGGGUAUCGAACAGGAUUAGAUACCCCAGUAGUC
rnacentral:rRNA from 1 species